AACGAACGCUGGCGGCGUGCCUAACACAUGCAAGUCGUACGAGAAAUCCUGGGCAACUGGGAAAGUAAAGUGGCGCACGGGUGAGUAACGCGUGGGUAACCUACCCUUGGAUUUGGGAUAACUCCGCGAAAGCGGGGUUAAUACCGAAUGAUAUUCCGACUUCUAAGGGAGUUGGAAUCAAAGGUGGCCUCUGCAUGCAAGCUAUCAUCCAAGGAUGGGCCCGCGUACCAUUAGCUUGUUGGUAGGGUAAUAGCCUACCAAGGCAACGAUGGUUAGCUGGUCUUAGAGGAUGGCCAGCCACACUGGAACUGAGACACGGUCCAGACUCCUACGGGUGGCUG
rnacentral:rRNA from 1 species